rnacentral:lncRNA from 1 species
AAGUGUUUCAACAACAAAAUACAACCAGUGUUUUCCAAGUUGGACUCUGUAAAGUCCCAGAAAUCCACAAGAUUUUCAUUCCUUAUAUUCAUGUUGGACACUGUUACUGAAGAACCACGUUCCUUUUAUCCUGGAGGAAAGAGGACGGGUCAUGUGGCUGUACCUGCACCUCAUCGCCCUUGGCCCAACCCCAGUUUAAAAUGAGUGAUAUUGCAGUCUGCUAAGUGGCUUGUCUAUGAAGUUCAUCCCAAGUGGAAACAGCCCUCCAUCGUGUUCAGUGAGGGAUUAUUCCAAACUUUAGAUCUCAUUAAACAGACAGAACGCCACAGUCACUUGUCCCUAAUAAAAAAUAUGCAAAUAAAUCGAACUCCACCCUCCUGGUAUGGUCCAUUUUCUAAGAGGCCUUCUUCUGAACGUCAGCCCUCUAGCAUUUCAUUCAGGGCUGGGAAGCCGAUGGCCGAAUUUAUUAAUGAAGUUAAUCGUGAUAACCAUCCUUCUCCUGGUAACUCCUGUGGAUGAACACCACUUGAUACCAGGCUGUAGAGAAGUGAGCUGGCGGUUCCUGGGAACCAGGCAGGAGGCACAUACUCAGGUGAGCUGUGGCAUGGGCUGUGCCCUGAGGAGGGACCACCCUUCUGCUGUGGCUCUCUGUUCUGAGGGCUAAAGCUGUGGGCGACAGACGCAGAGCCCGGCGCGUUGUCCCGGAAGCAGGGCCUUCAGGGCUGGAAGGGGCAGCAAGUGGCAUUUUCCACAAAUGGCUCCACUGACAUUUCCUAUUCUUUUGUAUUUUGCUGUAUGUUUUGGGUUGAGUUCUGUCUCCCAAAAAGAUACAUGGAAUUCCUAACCCCCAGUAGCUGUGAAUGAGAGCUUAUUUGGAAAUACGGUCCUGGUAGAUGUCCUAAUUCCAGUGUCUGGUGUCCUUAUAAGAAGAAGGAAGUUUGAGCACAGCGACCUAUGGGGAGCCGCAGUGUGAGGAUGGAGGCGGACAUUGCAGGGAGGCAGGGGCCGACAGGGAGCACGGUGGCGCCAGGAGCUGGAGGAGGCAGGAAGGACCCCGAGCCUCCACAGGGAGCACAGCUGCCCACACCUUGAUCUCGGAUAUGUGGCCUCGGUGAAGGACCCCAAUCUGUCACAGGGAGCAUGGCUGCCCAUACCUUGAUCACGUGGCCUCCAGAAUUAGGAGAGAACAAACACCUGUCGUUUUCAGCUCCAGUUUGUGGCACUUUGCUACAGCAGCCCGGGGACACUCCUACUGUCCAAAAGGAUAAGCACAUUUCAAUCAAGCAGAUCUGGGGCCUGAGCUUGAGUAUCC